CAGCCCUAAACGAUGCGCGUUAGGUGUAUCGGUGACCACGAGUCACCGAGGUGCCGAAGGGAAACCGUGAAACGUGCCGCCUGGGAAGUACGGUCGCAAGGCUGAAACUUAAAGGAUUGGCGGGGGAGCACCACAACGGGUGGAGCCUGCGGUUUAAUUGGACUCAACGCCGGGAAGCUUACCGGAUAAGACAGCGGAAUGAUUGCCGGGCUGAAGACCCUGCAUGACCAGCUGAGAGGAGGUGCAUGGCGUAGUCGUGU
rnacentral:rRNA from 1 species